UACGGGGGGGGCAAGCGUUGUUCGGAAUUACUGGGCGUAAAGGGCGCGUAGGCGGUUCGCUAAGUUGGAUGUGAAAACUCUGGGCUCAACCCAGAGCCUGCAUCCAAAACUGGCGGGCUAGAGUUCUGGAGGGGGUAGCGGAAUUCCUGGUGUAGCGGUGAAAUGCGCAGAUAUCAGGAGGAACACCGGUGGCGAAGGCGGGUCUCUGGGCCGAUACUGACACUGAGGAGCGAAAGCGUGGGGAGCGAACAGG
rnacentral:rRNA from 1 species